rnacentral:misc_RNA from 1 species
AAGAAGAAAGCAAGCUUGAACUAUUAUGCAUAAGUUCAAAAGAUGGUUCUAUUCAAGGAUAAAGCAAAAGCUUAAGCUCAGAAUGAUCUUUCAGUCCUUUUGCUAUGAUUUCAAUGCGAUCUUUUUAGAACCUGGUUGUAGAAAGUGAUGUAUUGAGUUACAUGCUUUGCUUGCUAUCAUCAAUGAGAUGUAGGUGUCGAGAGAUUAAAAUGUUUUACAACAAAUACUAAUUACUUUUUU